rnacentral:rRNA from 1 species
CGGGAAGCCAGGCGGCGACGCCGAGCGGAACCCGAAAACCGGUCUCAGUUCGGAUCGGAGUCUGCAACCCGACUCCGUGAAGCUGGAUUCGCUAGUAAUCGCGCAUCAGCCAUGGCGCGGUGAAUACGUUCCCGGGCCUUGUACACACCGCCCGUCAAGCCAUGGGAGCCGGGGGUGCUUGAAGUGCGUCGCCGCGAGGCGCGCCCUAGAGCAAAACCGGUGACUGGGGCUAAGUCGUAACAAGGUAGC